rfam:TPA: Bos taurus chromosome 19, whole genome shotgun sequence.
UCCCUAGUGGCUCAGAUGGUAAAGAAUCUGCCUGCAAUGCAGGAAACUCAGGUUCAACCCCUGGUUUGGGAA